GACGAACGCUGGCGGCGUGCCUAAUACAUGCAAGUAGAACGCUGAAGGAGGAGCUUGCUUCUCUGGAUGAGUUGCGAACGGGUGAGUAACGCGUAGGUAACCUGCCUGGUAGCGGGGGAUAACUAUUGGAAACGAUAGCUAAUACCGCAUAAGAGUAGAUGUUGCAUGACAUUUGCUUAAAAGGUGCAAUUGCAUCACUACCAGAUGGACCUGCGUUGUAUUAGCUAGUUGGUGAGGUAACGGCUCACCAAGGCAACGAUACAUAGCCGACCUGAGAGGGUGAUCGGCCACACUGGGACUGAGACACGGCCCAGACUCCUACGGGAGGCAGCAGUAGGGAAUCUUCGGCAAUGGACGGAAGUCUGACCGAGCAACGCCGCGUGAGUGAAGAAGGUUUUCGGGUCGUAAAGCUCUGUUGUAAGAGAAGAACGAGUGUGAGAGUGGAAAGUUCACACUGUGACGGUAGCUUACCAGAAAGGAACGGCUAACUACGUG
rnacentral:rRNA from 1 species